rnacentral:rRNA from 1 species
AGCUCCAAUAGCGUAUAUUAAAGUUGUUGCAGUUAAAAAGCUCGUAGUUGGAUUUCUGGGAGGGUGCCGAUGUCCACAGAUUGUGCGCGCAGAGGCGCCCUUCCAUCCUUCUGUUAGCGCCGCCUUGCAUUCAUUUGCUAGCGGCGUGCUCAGAUAGUUUACCUUGAGAAAAUUAGAGUGUUUCAGGCAGGCUAAGCCGGAAUACAUUAGCAUGGAAUAAUGGAAUAGGACUAUAGUCUCUUUGUUGGUUUGAGGGACAAUAGUAAUGAUUAAUAGGGAUAGUUGGGGGCAUUAGUAUUUGACUGUCAGAGGUGGAAUUCUCGGAUUUGUUAAAGACUAACUUAUGCGAAAGCAUUUGCCAAGGAUGUUUUCA